rnacentral:lncRNA from 1 species
CUCUACAGGCCCCUCUCCCCUACUCCGCCCCCGGGCAGGGGUAGGGGAGGGUCUAUUCGGCAGGGGGUGGCCUAGCUGUCCGUACUCCCCAAACGCAACCUUCCAGUCCCAAACCCAGGCGUUCUAAGCGCUCAGGACGACGAUUUGCGCUCACGCCAGGACCCUAGUCUUCAUUGGACCCUUCCUCAUUCUGUCCUCAUUGAGGCCAUCUGAGAAUAGGGGCUAUCUGAGAAUGCAGGGGAGUGGACAUCGUGUGCAGACAGGGAGUCUGGUGAGGAGACGCUGCGGUCCCCGAUGUCCAGGUCCUCCAGCCCUCGGCCAGCGAGGAGCGAACGGGCUCCUCCGCACGGACCGACACGUGGACUGGGCUCCUGGGAAAGGAAGAGUGGAGAAGGCGGGCAGGAGCUGUCCGGGUCCCUAGACUCUCCGAGUAGCAGGUCCCACGCCCCCAGCGGAAGAAGCCGGGGCUGGGGGUGAGCGGUGGCACCCGGCCGGCCCAAACGGCCAACCCCGGGCAGCCACCGCCCACCGGCAAGAUGGCGCGAGGCUCGGGCUUGUGGGAAACGGAGUCCGCUCCCGGCGCCGCCCCUCCCCCGCCCUGCGGCCAGGCCGGGAAGCGCAAAGUUGUUUGGGGCGUCCUCUGCGCCUCGCGACCCGAGUGCGCACAGAGGGGGAAACUAAGGCGCAAAGAGCUGGGCAGUGCGGGGGCCGCGACUUAUAAUAAUAAAGGCGAUUGUGAGUGCCACGGGGCUGAGGCCUGCGCCGACCUGGUCUGCUGGUGCUACCAGGCUUGAACAGUCUUCAAAUCCACUGCUAUUAGGCAAAUUACCUGGCUCCCGCUGAACUCCAGCACCUAGAACUAUGUCACACUCGUAGUAGGCCGCUGCAUUGGUUGAACAAAUGAUUUUGAAAGAAUGAAUGUCUUCCUCUGUGCCUGCAUUUCCUCAGAAGGCUGUAACAAAGAUUAAAUAGGAAAAUUCGUGGAAAGUUCAA